rnacentral:rRNA from 1 species
UACGAAGGGUGCAAGCGUUACUCGGAAUUACUGGGCGUAAAGCGCGCGUAGGUGGUUUGUUAAGUUGGAUGUGAAAUCCCCGGGCUCAACCUGGGAACUGCAUUCAAAACUGACAAGCUAGAGUAUGGUAGAGGGUGGUGGAACUUCCUGUGUAGCGGUGAAAUGCGUAGAUAUAGGAAGGAACACCAGUGGCGAAGGCGACCACCUGGACUGAUACUGACACUGAGGCACGAAAGCGUGGGGAGCGAAC